rnacentral:lncRNA from 1 species
AACUCAGAGACCAUGUCUCGUUUUAGUAUGUCUCCUUAGAACUCUGAGUCUUUGGGGAAAGCCAGAUUCAUCCAGUGCAGUGCUAAGACCUUCCUUCCAUAACUAAACAAAGAAGAAAGAAAUCUAGGAAAGCCAUUAAAGGUAGGUUAUUCAUUCUACGCAAAAGGAAUCAUGACAUUUUCAUUUUCUGGAAUAUUGACAUAAAAAACAUUAGAACUUACUUUUUUAGUUUCUAAGAAAAAGGGACAAACCACCAGACUGAAGGAGCUUGGUUUAGGAAGGACUGACCCUAGGCAAUUUGAUGAAGUUUAUGAGAGUUGCCAUUACAGGUAACAAGAUUCAGUGGCAGAAAAAAAAUAAAUAAAUGAAAUGGAUUUGCUUGUUUUCAACAUUUUAAUUUUAAUCCAGUCUUAUUUUUUCCUCUACUUUGGGCUCCCGAAUAGAAAGAAAACUCCAAGUGGAUUUAUGGCUGAAACUUGCAGCAGUGGACAGUGGUCAAAGGACGAGUUAAGACUUUUUGUUUCCCUUUCAGGUUGGCAAAAUAUUAGUAAAUAGCUGUUAUCAUUCAGAGCUUGACCAGGAAUGGGACAGAAGUUUCUGUCCAACAGACCUGGUGACAAACAGCGUGAGCUGGGACCACCAAAGUUUUGGAGAGAAACUUGGCAACACCCAUAACAUUUUUAAAGGUGCAUGGUUUUGCCUCACCAACUCCUCAUCUAGCUAGCCAUCGUAUCGAAAUAUUUGCACACCUCAGCCAGUAGGAACGACAAAGGCACAUAUUCGGUUUGGUUAAAACCCAUGACUUUUUCCCCCUACAAGUCAACUUAAUUUAUAUCUUGAGCUCAUCUUUGUUCUGAUGGCAGAAAGCAAUCUAGGCACCUCCAGGCCUGCUCAGCUGUUUCCGAGAAGAUUCCAUCCCUCUCUGCUCUACUCUCUUCCUGUGGACUUUCAGUUCCCCGUGUUUGAUGUCCUUGGGGGAGGCCUCUGGUUAUAAUGUCCCAACAAUGCUGUACUGUCUGGUCCUUGAGCAGAGGAGUCAUGAGUCAUCCAAUUCCAAGUUGUCAGCAGAGCACCAUGUCUGUGACCAUGGCCAGAGCUCCAUGCCCCGUUCCACUGAGGUGUCCCCAGAUCCUCAGUGACUCACCUUCUUCCUCAUGAUAAUACCUGCAGUGAUCUGAACUCGGGAAAGUCUGACCCUUUUCUCAAGCCAUUUUGUGGUAGAGGCCUCAGCUACCGGUGCUCACUCGCCAUUGGUACCCUAAUGUAGCCACACCAUGUUGGCCCAGGCCACGUCUGCAUGGCGAUGACAUUCUGGGUGCCGGAUGGAACACCGCUGUAAAUUCUUUCUUCAAGGUCCCAAUGUACCUGGCUGUCCUGUCAUCUCCACCCAAGCUCCGGGUUUAGCCUAAGAUCCAAGGGACACUUUACAGGGACAGGGUCUAGUUACAUACCUCUUUGCCAUUCUGUCCCAUAGCCCAGGGAGACCUCUUCCAGCCAGUGAAGGUGAGCAGGGCUGGAUCCUCACGUGUUAUCUCUGCUCUUUGUUGUAGAUGAAGCUUUAUGCCUCCUUGAUUCUUUGGUGUUUGAGCUUUUGAAACUAAAAACACUCUUUUCUAUCAUACUGUUUAAAAAAAAAAGUUAGGUCUGGCAAAUUAAAAGCCUGCACUUUUAAGACUGGUGUCUCAACACUGAGUUUUAAGACCCUAUUUAGAAAUUCAAAAGUCAAAACCUUGAUGCUUUGUCUCUGUACUUCCUUUGUGAAGUCCCUUCUAGAACCAGUGCUUGACCCUGGCUGAAUGGGGAAGAGUCACAGACAACUGGGGUUUGAAGCAGGGACAGCCUCAGUUCAUGUGUCUAAAUUUUACAUGACAUGUUCAGGGAUAUGUAACAAUGGAAAAAUCCUCAGUAGACCCAAAGUCAUCCACUAGGUAGAUUGUUAAAACAAACUGGGUGACUUUAUGUCUUCUUAAGUGAAUUUAACCUGGGUGGAACUGACCCCACUUCCCUCUUAUGUCACCUCUGCCACACAAUAAUUAUACCUAUCUUUUUUGAAAAGGCUUUAUUUCUACUUUUAGUUUGUCGGAUUUGCAUUUUGAUUCCAAGGCCUAUGGAAUAUUAUUUACCCACUAAAAUUGUGAGGGUGAAAUACAUAAUGAAAUAGAAAGUUAUCCAUGAUAUGUUGUUGAAUUUUAAAAGUAAAUACAAGAAUAUUUACAUAACAUGGAUUGGAUCCACUUUUGUGAGGUUCUUUUUAAAGUCCAAAUAUCUCUGUAUCUAUCCAGCAUGUGCAUGCACGCACAUGCGCAUACAUACACAUAGAAGUGCAUGUAUACCAUGAUAAAUACGUGUCACCAUAAUAAAUGUUACUUUUGAGGAAUAGAAGUAAGCAAGAAAGCAUUUAAGUAAGGGGCAAUUUCUGCAUUGACUUUAUACAUUUCUGUAGUCUUUAGAUUUUUUUUUUCAGUAAGCAAAUACCACUUUUGUUUGUAGGAAGCACAGUAAGAGACAAAAACACAGAAGACAGUGGGGAAAUGUGCCCUUCCCCUUCAGAGAGGAAAUGAGGCCCUGACCUGCACAGAUGCCUCCCUGUUUGCUAGCCCACGGACAGUCUGCACGGAUCAGCAUUCUGCAGCAGCAGUCUGGGAGACAAGAGGGUGCAGCACCACUGUCACUGGCAUGGGCUACAGACUCCAAGAAACCUACAUCUGAAGCCUCGUCCAUGAUUUGAUAUUUUUGAAGUCCUUUUGAGCCCUUGUUUGUUCUUUGAUGACACAAGACCUACUCCCUGAAUCGAGGAAUAAAUAAGAUAUGCUGGGGGGAAUGUACCUGGUAUAGCAUGUGCUCAAUAAAAGGUAGGAGGAAGAGGAAGUCAAAGAGAGAGAAUUAUCAUUAGCCUUGAGAAAUGGGUGCCCCCAUAGGGUAGUCCCUGGCAUUUUAAAUGCUACCAUUGGUACUUUACUCCUUUUUUCUUUUCUCAAUGUCACAUCCCAAAUCGACAUUCACUGAGCUCCUGGUAAAGAAGGAAGGCAGAGUUCAUAAACAAGAGUGAGCUAUAUAUGGAUCCUGCCUUCAAAAGAGCAAGCUGGUGUUAUAGAUGGGAGGGAGGAUGUCCAAGACACACUUCAAAAUGCUGCACAUUGAUCAAUGGGAAAAAUGGAUCUGCAGUUCCUACCACUGGUAAGGGGAAAAGGAAGUGGAGUGGGGCAACUUUACUUAGGGAAGACCAGAGUUCAUGGCUAGGUGAUCAGAAAAGAAACUUCCUUGCAAAAUAGAUCCUACAGAGCAUGGAGGUGCAGCUUCGAGGUAGAUCACGCUAACUUGCCUAAUUAUGCAGAAGGUCCUGUACCACAAUAAUAACAACAACAACAAUAACAGAUGGCACAAAAAUCAUGGCAAAAGUUGGGGUACAUGUCCGAAUAAAAGAAUGGCAGGAGAUGGUGAAGAAGGCACCCUCUGCUCUGGACAUGGUGAGACUGAAUGCUCCCACAUCCGAGAAUUGGAGCCUUGGAUAGAGAGGAAGACAGAGGAAAUCUGACCACCCACGCCACCACCUGCCCUGACCUCUCACCCUGAAGCCUCAGGAAAGGGAAAAUCAAUGGGCUCCCGAAGUGCAGGAGCCCAGGGUUUGGGACUGGAAUUUGCCCCAUGCAGAGUGUUUACUGAUCUAGAGACCAGAUAGGUUCAAUGAGCUCAUCCUUAUCUUGAGAGGAAAUUAGGGAGCUCAGACUAAGACAAAGCCACAUUUUAUUCAAUGAAAAUUUACCCCUCCACCCCCCCCCACACACACACACACUACACACAAUGUCACAGAAAACAUCUACUUGAGGAACUUUGUCUCUAAAGUUUGGUUCUAAAAAAAAAAAAAAAUCAAGGAAUUGGAAAUGGUGAGCUUACAGAAAGCCAGAAAAGUUAUUCCGGAAUCUUUUCCAUUCACCCCCCAUGCAGAUCUAUAUCCUUUUUUUUUUCCCCUACAGUUUGCAAAUAUUGACUAAGUUCAAGGGCAGAGGCUUAAGGUCUAACUUCAGAGUUAGCAUGAGGUGAAAUGCUUAAGAUGGUGCAAUACUGUGCUAAUGAAGAACAUAUUAGAUCCCAAGGUUAGUUAUGGGCAGUUCUUGUCCCCUGACCCAGUUGAUAUUUGUUUUAUCAAGUCAGGGACUAUUUUUGUCAUCAUUGUUAAUCUUCCUCUUGCCAGAUCUGUUUUGGCCGAGGGCAUGCACUUGAGGUAUGUUAGAAGAAUGGAGUGCAGUAUUGUGGGAAAGAAUUAUUGCUAAUUCUGUCUGCCUACAGCUUCCUCAGUCCUAUUUGUCUGAUCUUAACUCACUGAGCAAGAUUAGAGAUGGAAAAUACUGGAAGAGAGUGACCUUGUUCCAGGAAGUAGAUUUUUAACCAAAAGAUCAAGACAGCAGCAGCAUUCCCAUUAAGACGGCAGGUCUUCGUUGUCUUGGAAAGGUUUUGAAUUGCCCAUCAGGGGAGCUCUUGAUGGAGUAUUUUGCCAAAAAAGAAGUUUAUUUCUUCAUGCAUAAGUCCAGUCUAUUGAGACUUAUCUUUGGCCUCCACAUUACCAAGGUCUUGUAUCAAGGAUUCUGGAGACCUGGCCUAAGAUCUCUGGUAGUUCUAGCUGGAAUUCUAAAUGAGCUGGCAUUUCUGACCCAUGAACUUUGGAGUUAAACCAACCCUGGUUCAAAUCUUCAUUUCCCUAUGCCUCAGUUUCUCCAGGUGUGAACAUACUCAUAGCAACGUUCUCCUUGCAAGAUUGUUAUGAGGAUCAACGUGGUAUUGUAUCUGAAAGCAUUCAACACAGUGCCUGUUGCUUCAAAUGGGAUUAAUACAUUUUAGUCUCCUUCCUUCCGCUCAGCCACUCCAGCUGCUGGUGUAUCUCCUUUCUCUGCUGCAUACAUUUGACAUAGUGGAACCAGGCCAGUAACACUUGAGGGGAUGCUGUCCUCAUAAGAAUGAAGAGAGAAAAAGAAAAGUUUCAAACAAUGUUCGGGAUAGCAAGACCCGCUUUUAAAUGAGCUGAAUAUGAACCCUGUGAGCCCCACUGAUGUUUGAAAGAGGUUAAUAUAAAAAUAGAUUUCUAAAAAUCUGAUAAUCAUAGAGUUCAUCAUAUUCUUCUUUUGGAUAUUAAUGAUGUGACUCAGUUAUUCAAGGAACUGAUAAACCCCCUGGGUAGUCGGUUGAAGGAAGAUGAUGUUCUUUUAGACUCAGCAGCCUACCCAGAGUUCUCCCCACUGACACCUCUUGUUUGAGGAUAAUACAUCUAAGAAUUCUAGUAAGUCUUAGCCACUUCCUCUCUUGAGCAUCAUGAGAAUGGUAGAAAUCCACCAAGCUGUAUCCUCCUCUUGGGCAUCCUGAGUUUUCUCAGUUGUCUCAAAACAACUUGCUUCCUAAUGUUAAAUAAAAUGGCCAUUUACAAAGGAGAUAGUCAAAGGUGUAUUUUACAUAAGCCAAUAUUAAAAGAUUCUGAUGGCAGUGAUUACUCUCAUAUUCGAUACAGGAAAUUCUCCAGUGUAUCCUAACUGGUCACAGGGAAAAUUUGUUUGAGCAACACAACACUGCAAGUGUCUUUAUGUUUGAUUUUGGAAAUCAAACGCACCAAACUUUCAAGAAAAUGGCAUAUUAAGACCUUCUGUCUGGUCUCUGUUUCUCUGCUCUUGGCACUUCCCAAUACUAUUAGAGCCAGAUCAGAGGGAGAAAUGGGAAAAGGUCAUCUAGGAUACUUAAUAAAUAUUAAAAUAGUUAAUGUAUAUUUCAAUCCAUUUUUUUAUGUGUUAACAAUAAAAAAUUAGAACAUACAGUAGAAAUGAAAUAGUGAUCAAACCUACAAGUAUUUAAAAUAAUGUUAUAAAACUAAUCUGUAAAGGUGUAAAGAAAACCUACAAGUAUAGGAAAUAAUAAUAACAAUAAUAAUAGCAACUAGAAUUUAUUUUCUUUUAAUGUGCCAAGAAUUGUCCAAUAUUUUUACUUACAUGAUUUGUUUAGUUUUCCUUGGAAAUGUUAUAAGACAUUUAAAAUUAUUAUCCUCAUUAUUUGAAAAAGGAAACUGGGACACAUCGAGGUAAGGUAAUGUUUUGAAUGGGAAGAUCCAAAAUAAUAAAUGUGUUUAUUUUAUCUAAUUUAUUCAAUAACUUUAUCGGUAAAUUAAUGUAAUAAAUUUACUCUAUAAAUUAAUGAAAUUUCAAUCAAAUUUCAGAGGACUGUUUUUGGAACUUAAACUAUUUUAAAGUUUAUAUAGAAAAGAAAAUCCUUUAAAAACUAAACUAAGUGAAGAAAAUCAAAGUUAGAUUCCCUCAUGACAUGCAAAAAUAAAUUCUUGGCAGACUAACAGUUAAAAAUACAUUCUCAGACACAGACACACAUACAUAUGUGUACACAUACAUGUAUAUGACACACACAGGAAUAUUCUGGAAAACUAUAGUCUGGUACCUUUUUAAGCAACGCAAAAUCCAGAAGCCACAAAAAAAUGAAAUCAAAGUAGUUACAUUUCAGCAACAAUAAAAACUAAGCAUGG